ACGAACGCUGGCGGCGUGCCUAAUACAUGCAAGUCGAACGGUCUUUCUAUGGAAGCUUGCUUCCACUGAGAAGAUAGUGGCGAACGGGUGAGUAACACGUGGGGUAACCUGCCCAUAAGAGGGGGGAUAACAUCCGGAAACGGGUGCUAAUACUGCAUAGUUUUCUUGAUCGCAUGAUCGGGAAAGGAAAGACGGCCUUUGUGCUGUCGCUUAUGGAUGGACCCGCGGCGUAUUAGUUAGUUGGUGAGGUAACGGCUCACCAAGACGAUGAUACGUAGCCGACCUGAGAGGGUGAUCGGCCACAUUGGGACUGAGACACGGCCCAAACUCCUACGGGAGGCAGCAGUAGGGAAUCUUCCGCAAUGGACGAAAGUCUGACGGAGCAACGCCGCGUGAGUGAAGAAAAGGUUUUCGGAUCGUAAAACUCUGUUGUCAGAGAAGAACAGGUUGGAGAGUAACUGCUCCAGCCUUGACGGUAUCUGACCAGAAAGCCACGGCUAACUACGUGCCAGCCGCGGC
rnacentral:rRNA from 1 species